rnacentral:sRNA from 1 species
GGCGGUCUGCCCUUCUCGUCUACACGGGAACAUUCCGGUGGCCUUAAGCAAAUCCGAGGGAGCUGGCUCUGUCGCGGCCGUGGCCGAGUUACCCGGCGCCCACCUGAAUAUCAGGUCCUCGGGAAUGCGCUUCCCUGACGGUUGCAGGUGGUCCCGCC